CCCUUAGAUGUUCUGGGCCGCACGCGCGCUACACUGAUGCAUUCAACGAGCCUAUCCUUGACCGACAGGUCUGGGUAAUCUUUGAAUCUGCAUCGUGACGGGGAUAGAUUAUUGCAAUUAUUAAUCUUCAACGAGGAAUGCCUAGUAGGCGCAAGUCAUCAGCUUGCGUCGAUUACGUCCCUGCCCUUUGUACACACCGCCCGUCGCUCCUACCGAUUGGGUGUGCUGGUGAAAUGUUCGGAUCGGCCGUUUGUCGCGGUUUCCGCGGCUCGUGGCUGAGAAGUUCAUUAAACCCUCCCACCUAGAGGAAGGAGAAGUCGUAACA
rnacentral:rRNA from 1 species